rnacentral:tRNA from 1 species
GAGGGUGUAGCUCAAGCAGUAGAGUGCAUGCUUAGCAUGCAGGAGGUCCUGGGUUCAAUCCCCAGUACCGCCU